UACGAAGGGGGCUAGCGUUGCUCGGAAUCACUGGGCGUAAAGGGUGCGUAGGCGGGUCUUUAAGUCAGGGGUGAAAUCCUGGAGCUCAACUCCAGAACUGCCUUUGAUACUGAAGAUCUUGAGACCGGGAGAGGUGAGUGGAAUUCCCAGUGUAGCGGUGAAAUGCGUAGAUAUUGGGAGGAACACCAGUGGCGAAGGCGGCUCACUGGACCGGUACUGACGCUGAUGCGCGAAAGCGUGGGUAGCAAACAGG
rnacentral:rRNA from 1 species